CAAAGGGCAUUUUUACUGAGGGAGACUCUCCCAAAAAUAUCCCAACGAGAUAUUUGAUAUUUGAUUAAUAUUCCAAAGCACAACUACAUCAGAUUCACUGAGACCUUUACCAGAUACUGCAACGAGCAUUUGCUGUGUCCCCCGCACAUGUUCUGGACAGGCUGGGGUCCUUGGGAACGGUGCACAGCCCAGUGUGGGGGCGGCAUUCAAGCUCGCAGCAGGACCUGCGAGAAUGGACCUGACUGCGUGGGCUGAAUGUGUUGCUCCAGCCUGGUCAGCAGCCCAGUGAAAUCACCUCCUGGGCAAAAGCCCUCGACCACCAUUGACUGCCCUCACUGUGUGUAGAUUUCUACUUGUUUCAGCUGUAUACCUCACCUAGAAGU